rnacentral:lncRNA from 1 species
UUUCCUCUACGCCUUAUGCUUCUGCGACCUCGACCUCUAGCCAUAUCUAUAAAAAACAGUAUUAGUUAAAGUGGAAAUAAUAUGCAAACUUAAUAAUACCAAGAGAAGCAAACAACAAUAUAUAGAUAAGGUAUUAGAAAAUGUAAAAGCAUAGUUGUAGCCUAAAAAAAUGAAUGAGAAAUGAAAGAGUCAAAAAUUGAGAAGUAGAGCAUAAAACCAGUUGAAGCAACAAGUUUU